AUCAGUGUGGCGUAGUGGUUUGAGCCUUGGUCUACAACAGGAGACCAGGGUUCAAAUCCCUACUCUGCUA